GGCACUUUCCCGCACUCCAGGGAGGGUUCGAAUUAAUGCUGCAGGUCAGCCACAUUCAGACUGUAAGAAGGCUGAAAAUGAAAAAGCUGGGGUCAGACGCUGCCGCUGUCACGGGCCUAUGGGAGCCGAAGCAAUGAUAAGGCAGUAUUUACAAGGAAGAGUGGAGUGAGCUGCUUGUAACCUUCAGUCCUUCCACUCUGAAAGCCUUCCCAUGUUGGAUGAUGAGGAUGGGUCCCUUUAGAAUCUGGUUCUUCCCAAGGUUUCUUCCUCUUCUUAGUCUGGACUGGGGACCGAACAGAGGUUUGGAAGCAUUGUGUUGAGUGCAAGGGAGCUUCCUAUGGUUUUCUGAACCUAUCGUCACACCAUUUCCUCCACCCUCACCUCCCUUUGACCUUCUUCACAGCAAGCCCAGGAGCUAACAUCCAUCGACACACUAUUUAGGUCAAUGCAGUUGCUGUGUAACCGUUAAGCUCAUGCUGAGAACUGAGCCAUGCUAACAUGAGCACUCAAGUACAAGGUUCUACUCGAAAGCACAUCCAUAAAUGAUAAACA